AUUUGGUUCCUAAAACGUGAGGUGAGCUGCUGAUUCUACUCUUGGAGUGACUCAACAUAAUGCUUCCAGAAAAGGCUUUUAACCGGAAAUAAGAUAAAAGAAUAAAAAAAAAGACCAUAGUAGAUCUAUGAUUAGCCCUCGGUCGGGAUGGUCCUGUCGAAGAACUUGAUUCAUGCAAAGAAAGAAACUUAGGAUAGGAGACUUAUGGAAGCAGCAGGGCUGGGUCUGCGAGUGAAACCCCAAAACCUCAAAUCCACUAAUGCCUAUCAAAUAAGAGUCCUACCGAGGAUCCGGUGUCUAAGGUGUCUAGGAUUUCUCCCAAAAGUAAGUAGGAGUGCUCUUCCUUUCAAGCCUUCUGCCUUACAGUCUAUAGACCUUACCUCACUAAUCUUUUAUUUUCUCUCGGGAUUUUGUUUGAGUUGCUGUCUCAGUAGUUGCAUUCCCUCUAGUCCCCUUGAAAGAGGAAAAGGGCCUAAGCCUGUUUAGUUCCAUCUCCUUGAGUUUCAAUUGGAAUGCUAGGGG
rnacentral:lncRNA from 1 species